rnacentral:rRNA from 1 species
AGUUUAUGAAGUUUUCGGACGGAUUAAACUUAGUGGCGGACGGGUGAGUAACGCGUGGGUAACCUGCCUCAUACAGGGGGAUAACAGUUGGAAACGGCUGCUAAAACCGCAUAAUAUUGCGACGUCGCAUGGCGAUGCAAUUAAAUAUUUAUAGGUAUGAGAUGGGCCCGCGUCUGAUUAGCUAGUUGGUGAGGUAAUGGCUCACCAAGGCGACGAUCAGUAGCCGACUUGAGAGAGUGACCGGCCACAUUGGGACUGAGACACGGCCCAAACUCCUACGGGAGGCAGCAGUGGGGAAUAUUGCACAAUGGGGGAAACCCUGAUGCAGCGACGCCGCGUGAGUGAAGAAGUAUUUCGGU